UAGGGAAUCUUCGGCAAUGGACGGAAGUCUGACCGAGCAACGCCGCGUGAGUGAAGAAGGUUUUCGGAUCGUAAAGCUCUGUUGUAAGAGAAGAACGAGUGUGAGAGUGGAAAGUUCACACUGUGACGGUAUCUUACCAGAAAGGGACGGCUAACUACGUGCCAGCAGCCGCGGUAAUACGUAGGUCCCGAGCGUUGUCCGGAUUUAUUGGGCGUAAAGCGAGCGCAGGCGGUUAGAUAAGUCUGAAGUUAAAGGCUGUGGCUUAACCAUAGUACGCUUUGGAAACUGUUUAACUUGAGUGCAGAAGGGGAGAGUGGAAUUCCAUGUGUAGCGGUGAAAUGCGUAGAUAUAUGGAGGAACACCGGUGGCGAAAGCGGCUCUCUGGUCUGUAACUGACGCUGAGGCUCGAAAGCGUGGGGAGCAAACAGGAUUAGAUACCCUGGUAGUCCACGCCGUAAACAAUGAGUGCUAGGUGUUGGGUCCUUUCCGGGACUCAGUGCCGCAGCUAACGCAUUAAGCACUCCGCCUGGGGAGUACGACCGCAAGGUU
rnacentral:rRNA from 1 species